UACAUAGGGGGCUAGCGUUGUUCGGAAUUACUGGGCGUAAAGGGUGCGUAGGCGGUUGUUUAAGUUUGGUGUGAAAUCUCCCGGCUCAACUGGGAGGGUGCUCCGAAUACUGAAUGACUAGAGUGCGGGAGAGGAGAGUGGAAUUCCUGGUGUAGCGGUGAAAUGCGUAGAUAUCAGGAGGAACACCGGUGGUGUAGACGGCUCUCUGGACCGUAACUGACGCUGAGGCACGAAAGCGUGGGUAGCAAACAGG
rnacentral:rRNA from 1 species